rnacentral:lncRNA from 1 species
AUAAAAAUCAUAUUUUGACUAAAUUUACCAAUUUUAUAGUUUCUAUACCAGUAAAAAUACAUUUGAUAAUUCACUGAAAAACAUGUAACAAAAUAUGUAUGCCCUAUUUAUGAUUUUGAUAUGAUUAUUGAAGUGUGUUAUAAGAAAUAAAGUCUAAGCUUUACUAGAUCUAUAUAAGAAAUGUAUAGUAAAUUGCACACCUGAUACAUGUAUCUGUAGCUGAUAUGUCGAGCCGCGCCAUGAGAAAACCAGCAUAGUGGGUUUGUGACCAGCAUGGAUCCAGACUGUUCGCUUUCAAAGCCUAUUGCAAUUAGAGAAACCUUUAGCAAACAGCAUGGAUCCUGACCAGACUGCGUGGAUGCGCAGGCUGGUCUGGAUCCAUGCUGGUCGCAAACCCACCAUGUUGGUUUUCUCAUGGCAUGGCUCUGUUUAUAGCCUAGCAGUAUUGUUGUUGCUUCAAAUAUUUCCCUUCUCUUAAAUAGUGCAAUAAUCAUUUUAACAUGAUUAUCAACUGACCUUGACCACUGAUGAUUAAUUUAGUAUUCUAGCAUGUUUAAUUACCUAGUUUUAUACUUUCUGUCUACAUAAUGUUUUGUAUUUGUUUUCUUAACUUUUGCCCACAAGUCCUCUUUGAUCAUGCAAGAUUUUUUGUUAUUAUCCGUUUCUCUUUUUGGAUCUUAUAAUUUGAGUAAUGUACCAAACUCAAGUUCACUAAAUAAUUUUUGCCAUAGACUUCUUUUUUUUUGUAUUUUUGUAAACAGCACUGAAAUUUCUUUGUCCAGUCACCAGUAUUCAUUUAAUCCACACAUUAGAAAGGAUAAAACACGUUUUCCUAUCUUAUGUUUUACUUAAGAUUUAUAUUCAAGUUUAAGUAUUUUGCAUAAAAUAAACACAUAUUUGUAAGUUUUUAAAGAGAAACAAAUUUUGAAACUUUUGACAUUCUAUUAACAGUAGUUUUAAAGGAAAAGAAAAAAUGAUGAAAAAAUUCAAACUAAGUUUGUAAACUAAAAACACUUUUACGAAAAAGUGUAAAACUUUUAAAUUUGUGUUAUUUUGCAGCACUAUGUAUUACAUAUUAACAGUACAUGUAUAUAAAUUCCAGAAAAAUAUAUCACAAUCUCUAAGAUCAGUACUGUUUGUGAAAAAUUUUGAAAUACAUGCAAGUCUGUGAAAAAACUGUAUUAUGAACUUCAGUAUGGCUCAUUAUUGUGCAGUCAGUACUAUUGUCUUUUAGCCUGUAAACAGAUCCCUUUCAGCAUAGAAGUCAGAUCCUUCAGUCUGUCAAGGUCUUUGACAAAUGUUUUAAAAAAUGUGUCACCAGUUUAUUUGAAGCAAAUUUUUCCGGAAUGUUUAAUAUGCAAGGAUAUUGACAGGUCUUCGGUAUUACAUCAUAUUCAGAUUCGAAAAGGACUUUAGUUUUGCUAUUGAGUAGUUGUUUCAACAGCCUUUCUAAAAAUUUAUAAUGAAAUAAUUGAAGAAAAUUUAUGGACAAAAAUGUGAAACUAUAUUUUUACCAAAUGUCUGCUGCUAAUACUCCUCAAAUAUAAUCAAAACAAAUAUUCCAAGAUAUUGAGAGAGAAGGUGUAACUGUGAUUGAAUUUAUUUCAAAAUCAACAAGAGAACAAGCCCAGUUGCAAUUUUUAAAGGCAGUGAUCUCUAGACUGGCUGAAAAUGAUCUUUCUUUAAAAUUGAAGUUUGAUCAUAUUAUGAACAUUCAAACAUGAGUUUUUGUUUCUGAACUAUCUGAAAAAAGUCAAAUCAAGAAAAAAAACAUGCCGGAGUCAAGAAUUGAACCUGGGUGGCCUUGGCAAUAAAAACUUUCCAGUGUUCUUAACCAACCCACCAGUAGGAAUAUGUAACUAACGUUUUAUAAUUAAGGCAGUUUACCUCUAGUACCUCAUGUUUUUUAAAUGGAAAAAUACAUAUAAUAAUUAAUUCUCAUGUGUUUCCGUAACAUUUAAUCUGUCAGUAAGUAAGUUUUUAAAGCAUUCCUGCUAUCUUAAUUUUUUUUUUUUGUGUAGUACGAUCUGGACGUCAGUGCCUUUAAAGCAGAUAAUCAUUUUCACUUUUAUCUUGUAUUGUCUUCCUACCUCUCUAUAUAGAAUAAAAUAGAAAUAUAGUAUCUUUUUGUAAUAGAUUAUUUUUACACAGAUAUUUAUCAUUAUUUAUAGCAAUGCUUUUUUCUACUUUCUAUGAUAUUUUAUUACAAAAAAAUCCUAAAAUUGAAAGAUUGUUUAGUGAUAAUUGUAUCUAAUGUUAUUAAACAUUUGUAUGCUUGUAUGUAAUCCCUCUUUAAACUCGAAAGAACACUUUGGUGCAAAAACAAAUGCAUUGCAACAAAUAUGAGUUAAUAGCAACCAGUACUAGAACAGUUCAACCUAGGUGUAAACACUUGUACAGCGCAACCUAGGUGCAAACACUAGUGCAGUGCAACCUAGGUGUAAACACUAGUGCAGCGCAACCUAGGUGCAAACACUCGUGCAGCGCAACCUAGGUGCAAACACUAGUGCAGUGCAACCUAAAUGCAAUUACUAGUGCUGUGAAACCUAGGUGCAAACACUAGUGCAGGGCAGCCUAAGUGCAAACACUAGUGCAGUGCAACCUAAAUGCAAUUACUAGUGCUGUGAAACCUAGGUGCAAACACUAGUGCAGUGCAACCUAAAUGCAAUUACUAGUGCUGUGAAACCUAGGUGCAAACACUAGUGCAGUGCAACCAAAGUUUAUUUUAGGAAGGAGGUAGUUUUCAAAAAGCUUAUUCGGAAAUGUUUGGAAUGUUUCCACUUAAUUUUUCCUCAGCAUUUGUUUAUCAUUGUGUUUUCCAGGAAUGUUAUUGUUUUCCCUAUACUACAUGUGUACAUGUUAAUGUGUUACAGUGAUUACAACAGAAAGCAAAAUAAAAGCUUACAAUCUA